CGAUAAGCUUCGGGGAGUUGCACGUAAACUUUGAUCCGAAGAUUUCCGAAUGAGGAAACUCACUUAGAGUAAUGUCUAAGUAUCAUUAAGUGAAUACAUAGCUUAAUGAGGGGAACUCAGGGAACUGAAACAUCUAAGUACCUGAAGGAAGAGAAAGAAAUUCGAUUCUGUAAGUAGCGGCGAGCGAACGCGGAUUAGCCCAAACCAAUAAAGUUUUCUUUAUUGGGGUUGCGGACAUAUCAUAACGAAGAGGUAUCGUAAUUGAAGAGGUUUGGAAAGAUCCACCACAGAAGGUAAUAGUCCUGUAUGUUAAACGAGAAGACUUUAGAUAUGAUCCAGAGUACCACGGGACACGUGAAACCCUGUGGGAAGCAGGAGGGACCACCCUCCAAGGCUAAAUACUACCUAGUGACCGAUAGCGUAUAGUACCGUGAGGGAAAGGUGAAAAGAACCCCGGGAGGGGAGUGAAAUAGAACCUGAAACCCUGCACUUACAAGCUGUGGAAGCACAUUUCUUGUGUGACCGCGUACUUUUUGUAGAACGGGCCAACGAGUUACGUUAAGUAGCAAGGUUAAGC
rnacentral:rRNA from 1 species